GAUGCAGCCAUGCCGCGUGUAUGAAGAAGGCCUUCGGGUUGUAAAGUACUUUCAGCAGUGAGGAAGGUGGGGUAUGUUAAUAGCAUAUUCAUUUGACGUUAGCUGCAGAAGAAGCACCGGCUAACUCCGUGCCAGCAGCCGCGGUAAUACGGAGGGUGCGAGCGUUAAUCGGAAUUACUGGGCGUAAAAGCGCAUGCAGGUGGUUUGUUAAGUCAGAUGUGAAAGCCCGGGGCUCAACCUCGGAAUUGCAUUUGAAAACUGGCAAACUAGAGUACUGUAGAGGGGGUAGAAUUUCAGGUGUAGCGGUGAAAUGCGUAGAGAUCUGAAGGAAUACCGGUGGCGAAGGCGGCCCCCUGGACAGAUACUGACACUCAGAUGCGAAAGCGUGGGGAGCAAACAGGAUUAGAUACCCUGGUAG
rnacentral:rRNA from 1 species